UGGGGAAUUUUGGACAAUGGGCGAAAGCCUGAUCCAGCAAUGCCGCGUGUGUGAAGAAGGCCUUCGGGUUGUAAAGCACUUUUGUCCGGAAAGAAAUCCUUGGCUCUAAUACAGUCGGGGGAUGACGGUACCGGAAGAAUAAGCACCGGCUAACUACGUGCCAGCAGCCGCGGUAAUACGUAGGGUGCAAGCGUUAAUCGGAAUUACUGGGCGUAAAGCGUGCGAAGGCGGUUUGCUAAGACCGAUGUGAAAUCCCCGGGCUCAACCUGGGAACUGCAUUGGUGACUGGCAGGCUAGAGUAUGGCAGAGGGGGGUAGAAUUCCACGUGUAGCAGUGAAAUGCGUAGAGAUGUGGAGGAAUACCGAUGGCGAAGGCAGCCCCCUGGGCCAAUACUGACGCUCAUGCACGAAAGCGUGGGGAGCAAAACAGGAUUAGAUACCCUGGUAGUCCACGCCCUAAACGAUGUCAACUAGUUGUUGGGGAUUCAUUUCCUUAGUAACGUAGCUAACGCGUGAAGUUGACCGCCUGGGGAGUACGGUCGCAAGAUUAAAACUUAAAUGAAUUGACGGGGUCAUAGCUGUUUCCU
rnacentral:rRNA from 1 species